UUUCCGGUUGAUCCUGCCGGACCCUACUGCUAUCGGGGUGGGACUAAGACAUGCGAGUCGAGCGUCUCCAGCUAUGGUGAGACGCGGCAGACGGCUCAGUAACACGUGGCUAACCUACCCUCAGGACAGGGACAAACCCGGGAAACUGGGGCUAAUACCCGAUAGGCGAGGGCGCCUGGAAUGGUUCUUCACCCAAAGGGCUUUGGAAGCAUGCUUUUCAAAGUCGCCUGGGGAUGGGGCCGCGUCCGAUCAGGUUGUUGGUGAGGUAACGGCUCACCAAGCCUAUAACCGGUACGGGCCGUGAGAGCGGUAGCCCGGAGAUGGGCACUGAGACAAGGGCCCAGGCCCUACGGGGCGCAGCAGUCGCGAAAACUCCGCAAUGCACGAAAGUGUGACGGGGCUACCCCGAGUGCCGUCCGCUGAGGAUGGCUUUUCCUCGGUGUAACUAGCCGGGGGAAUAAGGAGAGGGCAAGACUGGUGUCAGCCGCCGCGGUAAUACCAGCUCUCCGAGUGGUAGGGAUGAUUAUUGGGCUUAAAGCGUCCGUAGCCGGCUUAGCAAGUCUCCUGUUAAAUUCAGCGACCUAAUCGUUGAGCCGCGGGAGAUACUACUAGGCUAGGAGGCGGGAGAGGCCGACGGUACUUCCGGGGUAGGGGUGAAAUCCUAUAAUCCCGGGCGGACCACCAGUGGCGAAGGCUGUCGGCUAGAACGCGCUCGACGGUGAGGGACGAAAGCUGGGGGAGCGAACCGGAUUAGAUACCCGGGUAGUCCCAGCCGUAAACGAUGCGGGCUAGGUGUUGGGGUGGCUACGUGCCACUUCAGUGCCGCAGGGAAGCCAUUAAGCCCGCCGCCUGGGGAGUACGGCCGCAAGGCUGAAACUUAAAGGAAUUGGCGGGGGAGCACCACAAGGCGUGAAGCUUGCGGUUCAAUUGGAGUCAACGCCGGG
rnacentral:rRNA from 1 species